rnacentral:rRNA from 1 species
UACGAAGGGAGCUAGCGUUGUUCGGAAUUACUGGGCGUAAAGCGCGCGUAGGCGGCUUUGUAAGUUAGAGGUGAAAGCCCGGGGCUCAACCCCGGAAUUGCCUUUAAGACUGCAUCGCUUGAAUCCGGGAGAGGUGAGUGGAAUUCCGAGUGUAGAGGUGAAAUUCGUAGAUAUUCGGAAGAACACCAGUGGCGAAGGCGGCUCACUGGACCGGCAUUGACGCUGAGGUGCGAAAGCGUGGGGAGCAAACAGG